UGGGGAAUAUUGGGCAAUGGGCGCAAGCCUGACCCAGCAACGCCGCGUGAGUGAAGAAGGUCUUCGGAUUGUAAAGCUCUGUCCUUGGGGACGAAACAAAUGACGGUACCCAAGGAGGAAGCUCCGGCUAACUACGUGCC
rnacentral:rRNA from 1 species